UACGAAGGGUGCAAGCGUUACUCGGAAUUACUGGGCGUAAAGCGUGCGCAGACGGUUGCGUAAGUCAGAUGUGAAAGCCCCGGGCUCAACCUGGGAAUUGCAUUUGAGACUGCGUAGCUAGGGUGCGGAAGAGGGAAGCGGAAUUUCCGGUGUAGCGGUGAAAUGCGUAGAUAUCGGAAGGAACACCAGUGGCGAAAGCGGCUUCCUGGUCCAGCACCGACGUCAGGCACGAAAGCGUGGGGAGCAAACAGG
rnacentral:rRNA from 1 species